GAUGAACGCUGGCGGCGUGCUUAACACAUGCAAGUCGAACGAAGCACCUUGAUUUCUUCGGAAUGAUUGGUGACUGAGUGGCGGACGGGUGAGUAACGCGUGGGUAACCUGCCUCACACAGGGGGAUAACAGUUAGAAAUGACUGCUAAUACCGCAUAAGACCACAGUACCGCAUGGUACAGUGAUAAAAACUCCGGUGGUGUGAGAUGGACCCGCGUCUGAUUAGCUAGUUGGUGAGGUAACGGCCCACCAAGGCGACGAUCAGUGGCCGACCUGAGAGGGUGACCGGCCACAUUGGGACUGAGACACGGCCCAAACUCCUACGGGAGGCAGCAGUGGGGAAUAUUGCACAAUGGGCGAAAGCCUGAUGCAGCGACGCCGCGUGAAGGAUGAAGUAUUUCGGUAUGUAAACUUCUAUCAGCAGGGAAGAAAAUGACGGUACCUGACUAAGAAGCCCCGGCUAACCACGUGCCAGCCGCCGCGGUAAAAC
rnacentral:rRNA from 1 species